GGGUGCGAUCAUACCAGCACUAAUGCACCGGAUCCCAUUAGAACUCCGAAGUUAAGCGUGCUUGGGCGAGAGUAGUACUAGGAUGGGUGACCCCCUGGGAAGUCCUCGUGUUGCACCCC
rnacentral:rRNA from 1 species